CACCCCAGGCUGCAGGCUACGCUAAACCGCUAUUCCACCGGGACUGCCCUACUUGUUACAUGAUUGAUGGGCAUCUGAUAAAGGAAAAAGACACACACUUCCACAGCUGGAAACGGAGGAGAAAGAUACAACUGAUGGGUUCCAGCACCAGACAGGAGGUGUCUACUAGAAAGGGAACCUUCUACGUUACAACUCUGCUCCUCCAGACCAAGAAGGGGUUUCCAUUGUUCUUUCACUUUUCUCUUCCCCAUUCCUUUAUUGGACACUAGAUAACUGUGUCUCCACACAAGCAUAUGGCUUUAAAAAACAAAACAAAACUAAAUGGCCAAUGGUACAGUUUGAUCAACAUCAAGAGGAGAUAGAAUGAGGGGAAAAAGUGGUUCUGUGAAACUAAUCUUUUCCAUUAAUGCUGUGAUUAUUUAGCUCUUAUUGUUACAUUCCAUGAGUUAUUUUGCUCUCACAGUUUGACAACAACAAUAAAAGAACAUAAAAAUC